GACGAACGCUGGCGGCGUGCCUAAUACAUGCAAGUUGAGCGCUGAAGGUUGGUACUUGUACCGACCGGAUGAGCAGCGAACGGGUGAGUAACGCGUGGGGAAUCUGCCUUUGAGCGGGGGGACAACAUUUGGAAACGAAUGCUAAUACCGCAUAACAACUUUAAACACAAGUUUUAAGUUUGAAAGAUGCAAUUGCAUCACUCAAAGAUGAUCCCGCGUUGUAUUAG
rnacentral:rRNA from 1 species